rnacentral:rRNA from 1 species
AGAGUUUGAUCCUGGCUCAGAACGAACGCCGGCGGCGUGCCUAACACAUGCAAGUCGAACGGAGUUAAUCAGCAGCACAGAGCUGAUAAGCCGACAGGCUGGCAAGCGAACAAGCAAGGGAAACAGAAGACUUUAAGGUAUGAAGCUUUUGGGUCUGAUAGCUUGCAAGCCUGCUUGCUGGGGAGCUUGAAAGCUGUGUGCUGUUGAUUAACUUAGUGGCGGACGGGUGAGUAACACGUAGGUAACCAACCCUCAAGCGGGGGACAACAUCGGGAAACCGGUGCUAAUACCGCAUAAGCUCACGGACUGGGAUGUCUGGGAGAAAAGGAGCAAUUCACUUGAGGAUGGGCCUGCGGCCUAUCAGGUAGUUGGCGGGGUAACGGCCCACCAAGCCUAAGACGGGUAGCCGGACUGAGAGGUUGAACGGCCACACUGGAACUGAGACACGGUCCAGACUCCUACGGGAGGCAGCAGUGGGGAAUUUUGCGCAAUGGGGGAAACCCUGACGCAGCGACGCCGCGUGGAGGAUGAAGGUCUUCGGAUCGUAAACUCCUUUUGUCGGGGAAGAUAAUGACGGUACCCGAUGAAUAAGCCACGGCUAACUCUGUGCCAGCAGCCGCGGUAAGACAGAGGUGGCAAGCGUUGUUCGGAAUUACUGGGCUUAAAGGGCGCGUAGGCGGUGGAGUAAGUCUGAGGUGGAAGAUUAGGGCUUAACCCUAAAAUUGCCUUGGAAACUGCAUCACUUGAGUAAGCGAGGGGAUGGC